AGCACAGUGGUUAGUGCACAGCCCCGGAAAGGUUGAGACGCGGGUUCGAUUCCCGC
rnacentral:tRNA from 1 species